UGACAAUCAAAAUGAGUUUAUUAAUUUGAACAGUAAAUAUAAAGCUUCAUAUAAAACAUGUGAAAGUUUUGAACCAGUCCAUUAUAUUUGCGACUGGUCUAUUCUUCACCCAUGCAGCAGAAAGCAGCCAACAACAUAAUAUCGUAAGUAAGAUUUUUAUCUUCUUUUUUUCAUUUGGAGUUGUUUUCGCGGUUUUAGAAUAAUCUUUAAAUUAUUCUUCUUAGUUCACAAAUGUAGGUGUUUUUUUUAGCAACGUUUGGAUACUAUGUCAAUGAGAAAACUACAACAAGUUGUAGAGUUCUGGUAUUUGUUGUUAUUUCAAUGUGGAGAUUGAAAACGUCACAGCACGUGACAUUUUCUAUUCAGAGACAUGCUUAGUUUUUACACAGGCGAAUUCAGCAAUUAAAAUGUAAUGAUUUAAAUGGAUUUACACUGAAAAAUGAACUAUGAUGUUCUAGAUUGACUCUAUAUCUUGAUGAAAUCCAAUCGUAAGGUGACAUCUCUGGUAUGUUUUCCGCUAUCUGCAAGUUCUGUGAGAUAAUCGCGCCAAUGACGUGAUCUCGUAUCCCGCGUUGCUUCAUAAAACUCAUGAAUAUUCAUACUACCCUAGGCUAGUGAUACGUGGAGCUUACCGCCUUACUUGAUGAAAUCCAAUCGUAUGGUGACUUCUCUGGUAUGUUGACGAUAUUAUUUGUAUUAUCCAAUCACAGUAUUCUAGAUCUUUGACAUUAUCACGUGACUUGUGUGUGCACAAUGAAAUAGGUAUACAGGAAAGAAAAUGACUUUGAUCUCUUAAAUAAAUACCGAAAUAGACGUAGGUUUCUUGUAUAAUACGGUUUUAAACGAAAAACAAGCCGUCAGACAUAUCACCAGUCUACUUCAACUUUGAUUAAGGUAUCCACUUCUUAACUUCAAGAGGAGGUUAAUAUGUUGAUUUUUUUCUGAGCCGGCAUACUUUUACUCAAUCUUUCGACGCUAUCAAUCAAAUUAUUGUUUUUUCAAGAUUGAACAUUAUAAGGUAUUGCAUACAUGGAAAAAUCUGAAUUUUCCAUCAAAUUGGUGAUCAAAAUACUUUUUUUGGGGGAAAACAUAACCCCUUCCAAUCCUCCCCCAACACACACACACACACACCUUUUCAAUGUAAAUGGUCGUUCUCUAAUUUUAAAAAUGUUACCACACUUAUCUGAAAUCAAAAUAUAUUAAAAAAAUGCAUCAAUACCAGGCUGACACUUGUUCGCAAAAUACACGUUUCGUUUACGAAAGACUCAUCAGUGACGCUCGAAUUAAAAAUAUUAAUAGCCAAAAUGUGUAUCAAGUUUGAGAGUAUCAAAUAUUUUCUAUUAUAAAUUCUAUAGAAUUACACCUUCAUUUUUUAAAGAAAAUAAAAUGCUCGCUUAUUCUUUCGUUUAUCCCAUUUUUCAGAGAAUCAAGAUACAAAUAUUUUAUUUUUUCCGAUAUUAUUCGUUUAUUGUAUAUUUGAAGUAUAGAUGUGAUGUAAAAAAUUCUAUUGUUCAAUUGAAUUUCAUUGUAUUUUAUCUUUCUCAUUGUAGUCUUAUUUUCGUACAACAACCCAGGAAACAAACAGAAAUCCGACUAGCUGAUAUUCAAUAUUAUUCAAUAUAUUUAUUCUCAUUUUGUCUCCUUUUUUCAAAAGUUUGAAUACUAUGUACAUAUUUUCGCUUUCUUUCAUACUUUUUACAAUCAUAACAGUGAUCAAGCAUUGGAACACGUGUAAACAAGUAAAUUUAAUUUACAGAAAAAUAUUAAACAAAGGGAUAAGGAGUUAAUGCCUAUUGCGACUGUGAAAAAAAUAUAUGGAAAACAACAUUGCAGAAAACCGUUUUAGUCCGUUAUAUGAUCAUCAGUAUAAUAUUAUAAUUCUUUUAUUUUAUAUUUGUAGAAAAUUAAAAAAUGGCACACAGAUUGGUCGUGGCACUUCUUUUUCUCCAGAUGAUCUUAGCAAUAUCAGCAACGUGCCAAUCGAAUUGUGGUCGUUCAUUUCAGAGGAAUUUUAACAAUUGUUUGUCAAAAGGAAUUAUGGCUUCAAAAUGUAGGGAGGAAAUUACAGACGCCGUCGUUCAUUGUUUCAGAUUGUGUGACUUCAAACAAGGCUGAGCAUUUCCGUAUAUAAGAUUUGCAGUGCAGACGUCAAGAAAAAAAAUAUGAAUACGACAUUUCGUUACAUCUCGUCAUACAAUGUAUGCAUUUUGACUCACUUUUGAAGAUUAUCUCAAAAUCUUGUUUUAGCUAAUUUAUUGAAUUUUGAUCAGAUUUCUUAAACGAUUUUUUUGUGUUGCCACAAUUCAUAAUGCUGUUAUCAUGAUACCUA
rnacentral:lncRNA from 1 species